GGAAUCAACGCUGGCGGCGUGCCUAACACAUGCAAGUCGAACGAGAAAGUGGAGCAAUCCAUGAGUACAGUGGCGUACGGGUGAGUAACACGUGACUAACCUACCCUCGAGUGGGGAAUAACCUCGGGAAACCGGGGCUAAUACCGCAUAAUAUCUUCGGAUCAAAUGCGUAAGCAGCUUGAGGAGGGGGUCGCGGCCGAUUAGCUAGUUGGCGGGUAAUGGCCCACAAGGCAAUGAUCGGUA
rnacentral:rRNA from 1 species